AGAGUUUGAUCCUGGCUCAGGAUUAACGCUAGCGGCAGGCCUAAUACAUGCAAGUCGAGGGGCAGCAUUGUCUUCGGACAGAUGGCGACCGGCGAACGGGUGCGUAACACGUAUGCAACCUACCUUUUACUGGAGCAUAGCCCGAAGAAAUUCGGAUUAAUACUCCAUAAUACAGGGGGCCCACAUGGGUCUAUUUGUUAAAGCUCUUUUGCGGUAGAAGAUGGGCAUGCGGCCCAUUAGCUUGUUGGUAAGGUAACGGCUUACCAAGGCUACGAUGGGUAGGGGGUCUGAGAGGACGGCCCCCCACAUUGGUACUGAGAUACGGACCAGACUCCUACGGGAGGCAGCAGCUAAGAAUCUUCCGCAAUGGACGAAAGUCUGACGGAGCGACGCCGCGUGGGUGAUGAAGGCCGUGAGGUUGUAAAGCCCUUUUCUGCCUGAGGAAUAAGGUUUGGAGGAAAUGCCAAACUGAUGACGGUAGGGCAGGAAUAAGCCCCGGCUAAUUACGUGCCAGCAGCCGCGGUAACACGUAUGGGGCGAGCGUUGUUCGGAAUUAUUGGGCGUAAAGAGCGCGUAGGCGGAUAUAUAUGUCCGGUGUGAAAUAUUACAGCUUCACUGUAAUGCUGCGCUGGAAACGAUAUGUCUUGAGUACUUGAGGGGGAACUGGAAUUCCUGGUGUAAGGGUGAAAUCUGUAGAUAUCAGGAAGAACACCAGAGGCGAAGGCGAGUUCCUGGCAAGAGACUGACGCUGAUGCGCGAAAGCGUGGGUAGCAAACAGGAUUAGAUACCCUGGUAGUCCACGCUGUAAACGAUGGACGCUAGUUGUCGGGCGGCAUGCCGUUCGGUGACGCAGCUAACGCGGUAAGCGUCCCGCCUGGGGAGUACGGCCGCAAG
rnacentral:rRNA from 1 species